CACUGAAUUCACAAUUUUCAGACAGAAGUUGCGGACAAUUCGCCGGCUAUUCCAUCCGGUGAUGCGGUGGCAAGUACUACUGCGACCAAACCAGCUGCAGACAGUACUGACGACAAAACAACAGAUUCUGCCGCGGUGGGUCGGUACACUGACAUUCAGGAAGAGGGUGUGACCGUGAACGAGAUCAACAAGAGAGUGUUGGGGAAGCUGAUAGUGGAGAAAGUUGGGAACGAGGGAGCUGACGUCACGGCCCGGGCGGCGGUGCUGAGGACUGUCCUUCAGCGGGCUAUAACACACCUGGAGAGUCAACCAGCUGAGGUUUGGCAGAAUGCUGAAUUACUGAUAAUCGAUAAGUUUGGGCAGGUGUACCCCAUACGUUCUGGACAGGCCGAGAACAAGUUCGUACUGUACUACGAUGGAAUGGACAACAUCAAGUUCACAUGUACACAGAGAGAAACGUGGAAGUGGCCAUGGCAAUGGGGCAGUUCCGAAGACAAACCCAAGGCAGUGGAGGACAAGUCUUCCUUGUAGUUUUGUCUAGAUUAGGCCAUGUUAAAUUGGUUAUAUGGAUGACAUCCUCUGGGUAUCCCAAAACUGAUGCGCACGUGUGAAUAAAAACGUUUGGCCGAAAAAGUGGCCUGGGAGGCUGAA